rnacentral:rRNA from 1 species
UACGUAGGGUGCAAGCGUUGUCCGGAAUUAUUGGGCGUAAAGAGCUCGUAGGCGGUCUGUUGCGUCGGCUGUGAAAACCCGGGGCUCAACUCCGGGCCUGCAGCCGAUACGGGCAGACUAGAGUUCGGCAGGGGAGACUGGAAUUCCUGGUGUAGCGGUGAAAUGCGCAGAUAUCAGGAGGAACACCGGUGGCGAAGGCGGGUCUCUGGGCCGAUACUGACGCUGAGGAGCGAAAGCGUGGGGGAGCGAACAGA